rnacentral:rRNA from 1 species
UCUGAAUCUGCGNACGGCUCCGCACACCAGUUGUAAACCAAAGCAAGCAAGCCCGGUCUCGACGCCUUUCGGGGCUAGGGGCCGGGCUACAAGGAUAACCCUGGUAAUUCUGAGGCUAAUACUUGACACGAACCUGCUGACUGGGUCUCGGCUCGGGAGGUGGGGGAUGUGCGACUAUCGGGCCAACGAAACCGGAAGGAGCGCACGUUCAGACCACUUGAAAAGGCUUCGGGGUCUCUCGGGAUCCCGGGGCUGUGGCUCUUGCAGCGUGCUUCUGACCUAUCAACUAGACGGCAGCCUAAGGGACAUGCUUUGGUGACAACGGGUACAGA